rnacentral:lncRNA from 1 species
CAAAGAAGAUACACGGACUGACAGUAAAAAAUGGCAUGUCCGGUCAGUGAACAUGGUGGUCCAUGUACUUGCUUGUGUUACUUCUAAGGGUAGUGACAGUCCACUGACCUACUCAUGGCAAUCUCCAAGGGGAAAAAAGAGAGUUGGACCACAUAGUGGAGGCAAUCAAGCAAGACACCAUAAAAUGCUUGAAACAUGGCACUCAAACAUAAUCCAAGGGUAAUAAUCUUGAAACAAAAUAGAAUGAGACUUGCUAUUCCAGAUUAUUAUCUGAAUUUGAUGUCAUAUCUGUUGCAUCCACAGACAAGUUGAUCACGCCACACAGAAGAUGUUUUAAUCUGUAGACAAGAUAAAAUAUCACAUCAUUGGCACACAGAUAUAUAUAUAUUUUUAAGAUCCAACCAACUUAGUAACAUCACAAGCCUUGUGACAAUGUAUUAAGGACAGGAUUGAUCCAAGUUAUCUUUCUAGUCGCUGAGAUGAUUCAUUUAAGUAUUGACUAGAGCAUUUGGUAUUCUAAACGUCAUUUUAAGGAUAAAGGAUUAUCUUGUGCGCAUUUGAACAGAUAUCCUUUACAAUAAUGAAUAGAAGAUUAUGGAGGUGCGCAGCAGGCAGAACCCAUGUGACUUGUUGUAUAACAAAUAUAUGCUGCCCGGUACAAUCCUCCUUAGUAGUUAAGAAAAUUCAUACACAUCCUGAUCAUAAGUUAAUAUAUGACAAACGAAAAGCAUCCUCAUAUUUCCAUACAGCUGUGAAGUUACUAAAGUGGAUGCAUUAGUCUAAGCAACGAAAAAACAAUAUUAUCCCCUCAUUUUUUUAUAAGUGGCUGACACAAAAAAAAACCAUGCAAGUCCCACACAAUUACACCAAUCUAGGCAUGUGUGCACCAAUAUCCAAAGAAAUUUCAGAUGUAUGUGAACUUAUCUUACUCGUGUAUGCCUGAAAGCACUGGCAUUAUUUUCUUGCUCACCAUUGAUCUGCAUUCAUCAUGGUUUCAUUUGUGAAUGCCCUUGAUAUUGAUAGUUAUCCUAAUAUAUCAUCAUGGGCAUAUCAUAAGUGUAAGUGGUUCCUUCAUCUGAUCUGGGUGACUCUGUCUGGCCACCUGAAAAAUCCGAAAACCUAGUGUCUUUUCGGAUUUAUGUAAGAUUCUGUUGUCACUUCAGCAGUGGAGCUGGACAUUUUAAGUUAGAUAUGAUAUCAGCUAGUAUCUUUUCUGAUUUAUGAAAGAUUCU